GUGAUGAGCAGUGCCUGCUUUUCUCCACACAUACCGCUUAGAAUUAACACCAAAAAGUUCAAUCUUGGUCUCAUCAGACCAGAGAAUCUUAUUUCUCAUAGUCUGGGAGUCCUUCAUGUGUUUUUUGGCAAACUCUAUGCAGGCUUUCAUGUGUCUUGCACUGAGGAGAGGCUUCUGUCGGGCCACUCUGCCAUAAAGCCCCGACUGGUGGAGGGCUGCAGUGAUAGUUGACUUUGUGGAACUUUCUCCUAUCUCCCGACUGCAUCUCUGGAGCUCAGCCACAGUGAUCUUUGGGUUCUUCUUUACCUCUCUCACCAAGGCUCUUCUCCCACCGUUGCUCAGUUUGGCUGGACGGCCAGGUCUAGGAAGAGUUGUGGUCGUCCCAAACUUCUUCCAUUUGAGGAUUAUGGAGGCCACUGUGCUCUGAAGAACCUUGAGUGGUCUAGAAAUUCUUUUGUAACCUUGGCCAGAUCUGUGCUUUGCCACAAUUCUGUCUCUGAGCUCCUUGGGCAGUUCCUUCGACCUCAUGAUUCUCAUUUGCUCUGACAUGCACUGUGAGCUGUAAGGUCUUAUAUAGACAGGUGUGUGCUUUUCCUAAUCAAGUCCAAUCAGUUUAAUUAAACACAGCUGGACUCCAAUAAAGAAGCAGAACCAUCUCGAGGAGGAUCAGAAGAAAUGGACAGCAUGUGAGUUAAAUAUGAAUGUCGCUGCAAAGGGUCUGAAUACUUCUGACCAUGUGAUAUUUCAGUUUUUCUUUUUUAAUAAAUUUGCAAAAAUUUCUACA